AACUCAGGAGAGAUCUGUGUAAAGCAGACGCCGAAGGUGUACGCGAAGGAGAUCUUCGUAAAAUCACUCAGGCAAAAGGAUGGAGGAGA
rnacentral:ncRNA from 1 species